AUAAAGGUAGAGGAAAGGAAAUUUUCCUAAGCAAUGGCAAACCACAUGGGAAUCCUGCAGGCUUUUUGUUUGAGGUUUUAAUAGUGAAUCCUCAUCUAAGAACUUUAUCUAAGAAAUCAUAUAUGAUAUAUAGAAAGUAGGGAAGAUAUUUGGAAAUUUCCUUCUAAAAAGCUCUCAAAGCAAAAACGUUCAGAAGUUCAGCAGAGAACUGACCAUAUCAACAAGGACCAUUCUUCAGUCCAGCCAUUGGAGUGGGUUUUGUUCCUAUUUCCAGGAACCUGGGGCUGGAUGUACUCUCCUUAAUCUUCAGGUGUGCUAAAUAGCUACAGAUCUCUGCACUUUGCUAGCUCCUGCUAUGUGUCAAGUGCCAGGCACAGGAUAUUUUUGAAGAGGAAAGCCUAAAGUGUGCCAAUAUGCAGAGGAUGGGCCCCCAAAUCGCGGGCCUUUUCUGAGAAAAGAAUCUGUAGGCAUUGAAAGGC